rnacentral:sRNA from 1 species
GUUGAUUCCAGCUCAAGGCGCUCAUAGUUACCCCUAUUUUCUUUCUCAGAUAUUUGAGAAACAUUAGUUGUAGGGUUUCUCAUUAGCAGAAUGUGGCACCAGUUUGCUCAAUGGUGUAGAUCUGGGGAUUUUAAUAAAAUAAAGUAUAUUAAUGAUUCUACUUAGUUACUGAAGUUUGCCUUUCCCUAAAUAUAAAUAUUUAGGAGACACAUCAAGGAUGUUUAGGAGAACAAAGAGCUAUGACAGCCUGCUGACUACCUUAAUUGGCGCUGGAAUCCGAAUUCUUUUCAGUUCCUGCCAAGAAGAAACUGCAGAUUUGCUAAAGGAACUGUCUUUAGUGGAACAAAGAAAGAAUGUUGGUAUUCAUGUUCCAACAGUGGUGAAUAGUAAUAAAAGUGAGGCACUCCGGUUUUAUUUAAGUAUUCCCAAUAUAAGUUAUGUAACUGCAUUAAAUAUGUGUCACCAGUUUUCAUCUGUGAAAAGGAUGGCUAACAGCUCACUUCAAGAAAUCUCCAUGUAUGCACAAGUAACUCAUCAGAAGGCUGAGGAGAUCUAUAGAUAUAUUCACUAUGUAUUUGACAUACAAAUGUUACCAAA